rnacentral:rRNA from 1 species
GACGAACGCUGGCGGCGUGCUUAACACAUGCAAGUCGAACGGAAAGGCCCUGCUUUUGUGGGGUGCUCGAGUGGCGAACGGGUGAGUAACACGUGAGUAACCUGCCCUUUACUUUGGGAUAACUUCAGGAAACUGGGGCUAAUACCGGAUAGGAGCUCCUGCUGCAUGGUGGGGGUUGGAAAGUUUCGGCGGUUGGGGAUGGACUCGCGGCUUAUCAGCUUGUUGGUGGGGUAGUGGUUUACCAAGGCUUUGACGGUUAGCCGGCCUGAGAGGGUGGCCGGCCACAUUGGGACUGAGAUACGGACCAGACUCCUACGGGAGGCAGCAGGGGAGAAUAUUGCACAAUGGGCGGAAGCCUGAUGAAGCAACGCCGCGUGCGGGAUGAAGGCCUUCGGGUUGUAAACCGCUUUCGCCUGUGACGAAGCGUGAGUGACGGUAAUGGGUAAAGAAGCACCGGCUAACUACGUG